rnacentral:rRNA from 1 species
GCUGGGCGGCGUGCCUAAUACAUGCAAGUCGAACGCUUCUUUCCUCCCGAGUGCUUGCACUCAAUUGGAAAGAGGCAGUGGCGGACGGGUGAGUAACACGUGGGUAACCUACCCAUCAGAGGGGGAUAACACUUGGAAACAGGUGCUAAUACCGCAUAACAGUUUAUGCCGCAUGGCAUAAGAGUGAAAGGCGCUUUCGGGUGUCGCUGAUGGAUGGACCCGCGGUGCAUUAGCUAGUCAGGUGAGGUAACGGCUCACCAAGGCCACGAUGCAUAGCCGACCUGAGAGGGUGAUACGGCCACACUGGGACUGAGACACGGCCCAGACUCCUACGGGAGGCAGCAGUAGGGAAUCUUCGGCAAUGGACGAAAGUCUGACCGAGCAACGCCGAGUGAGUGAAGAAGGUAACGGAUCGAAAAACUCUGUAAGUACAGACAAGAACAAGGACGUAAGUAACUGAACGUCACCCUGACGGUAUCUAACCAGAAAGCACGGCUAACUACGAUA